rnacentral:rRNA from 1 species
UACAGAGGUCCCAAGCGUUGUUCGGAUUCAUUGGGCGUAAAGCGCGCGUAGGCGGACAUCUAAGUCAGGGGUGAAAUGCCGGGGCUUAACCUCGGAACUGCCUUUGAUACUGGAAGUCUGGAGUUCGGGAGAGGUGAGUGGAAUUCCGAGUGUAGAGGUGAAAUUCGUAGAUAUUCGGAGGAACACCAGAGGCGAAGGCGGCUCACUGGUCCGGUACUGACGCUGAGGUGCGAAAGCGUGGGGAGCAAACAGG